CGCUGCAGGGCUCCUGGAGGGGGGCUGAGCACAGGCGAUCCUGGAGACCGCAGGGACGGACCCCUGGAGCAUCUGGGUAGAGAGAAGGGGCGGAACUAUAACGAGAUGUCAAAUUGGGACCCAGAGGAGAAGCUGCCCCGGCCUUUUCUGGCUUGGUCUGAAUUCUGUGCCUGACAAAGGCCCUGCCGCCCAGCGGCUGCGGGACUGCUUCGGACAACGAGCCCCUCGGGCUCAGAACCGGUCCUCGGGCUCAGAACCGGUCCUCCGCUCACUCAGCCCGUCAAUAACGGGGCUGUCAGGACAGCCAGGCUCAGAAUGACGCCGCGGGGAAACUGAGUCCCGAGGGAAUUCCCCGGCUUCCCAGGGUCCUCCCAAGCGCAGACACCCAUCGGCGGCGGCUCCCACAGACAGGCCAGAAAAUACUGCUCAGAGAGAGAAUUCGCAGUCCAAAGAAGUUCAAGCCUAGACGGCAAAGUACCAGUAAUCUUAGCUUCGGGCUGAUUCAGGUAUUAUUUUCAAGCUACAAUAACAAAUUUAUCAGACUUAACAUCAUUUACUUAAAAAAAAAUAUUCUUUCCCAAUGAAAACUAACCCUGGUGUAAAAAUCAAUUAUUAAAAAUUAAGAAAAUGAUUGUAAUCUGGAAUUCCACAUGGAUAGUGAAUAGAUGAUCUUUCCCAAAAAGAGUCCCAGAAAACACAUCUCUAGAGUCCCAGGGGUCCUCAAACUUUAAACAGGGGGCCAGUUCCCUGCCCCUCAGACUGUUGGAGGCCGGACUAUAGUAAAAACAAAAACUUUGUGUUGUGGGCCUUUAAAUAAAGAAACUUCAUAGCCCUGGGGGAGGGGGAUAAACGUCCUCAGCUGCCGCAUCCGGCUCGCGGGCCAUAGUUUGAGGACCCCUGAGAGGUCUAGACUAACAAAUAUCCAUCUCUUAAGGUAUUGUUCGUUAUCCUAUUAAGCAAAAUUACAUCCUUAAAAUGGUGGAGACUAAGUUCAAGAUGUAAAUUUAAUACAUACCAUAUUCCAGUUAUUCCAACUUUAUUAUAACUUUUGCAAUCACAAAUUAUCACAUAAGGUACUUCAGUACUGUAAACAAACUUGCAGAGCUUCCCUGCUUUGUUAAAGGAGUGUUUGUGAUAGAUCCAUUUUCUCAGGAAGCCAAUUCACAAGUUCUUUCACAGGGCUGAUGAGAUUGUAUGACCCUGCUCAAGCAGAUGUUUCCAGGAAACCUGGAAAUAUAAGGAGUUUUUUUUUUUUUAAACUAGGUCUCCCUCCCUCCUUUUUUUUGCCCCCCACAAAAUAAGGAAUUAUUCCUUUUAAAAUAGAUCUUUAAAUGUUUCAUAGGUUCUAACAUUAUGACAAUAAUGUCUAAUAUAAUUUCACAAUAUAUGAAUCAGAAAGAAUUUAAUUCUCCAAUAGCAAUUUUAUCACCUCCUAAACAAUAUCUCAAACAAUUUACAACAUAGGGAAACUUAAGAAACAGAAUAAUAUUCACAAUAUCAUGAAUUUAAAAAUAUGAAAAAAUAAAAUAGGACAUAGAUGACUUCAUUCAAAUGCAUUUCUGAAAGUUGUGUGUGAGAUGAUAUUGGAUGUUAUUACAUAUCCCUUUAGACUGAGUAACAGAGAUGACAGAAAGUGAAAAGUUCUGAUUAACUAUCCUGAGGGGAAGAUAUGUCUUAUUGUAAAUGCAAUCACAUAAACAAAUUAAUUUCACAUUAAAAUGAUUAGGAAAUACAUAGAAGGGUCUACCAGUUUAAAUUCACAACCAUUAUUGUUAAAUUCAGGUCAGAUAUUUAGUUGAGCUAAAUGUCAUAUACCAUUCUUGUCCAAAAUUCUUCCUCUUAAUAUUCUGCAUGGUAUUAGGAUUCUAGCCCAGGCAGAAGAUACUAAGCGGUCUGCUCUCACUCUGACAGGGGGAUGAUGCCUCUCCUCCAAACUGAAGCCCUUGAGAAUUUGACAGGGGAUGUCGUUUGCUAAGUAAGGCAGAGAACCCAGGGGACAUUGAGAGUUAAUACAAUGAUUAUUUGCACAUAAGAAAACUCAUGGAACACCAGGAUCACAAGAACACUAAGUCUUCAUAAGGGCCACGUUGACAUAGAACAUUUUACAAACACCUGUUUCCCACAAGCAAUCCUGAUCUUCCUUAACUUCAGUUGUAAAAGAUAACUAAUAUAUGUUCACUUACUCCCUUCUAAGACAACUUUAAAAUUAUUUUCCUUAAAAUAAAAGAUAUAACUGAUAUUAA